rnacentral:lncRNA from 1 species
GAAAGCACAAAACAUCAAGCCAACAGUUCAGGACUAGUCAUUCAAAUGGACUUGACUUUACAGUAUGAGAUAUACUAUUAUAUAUUGGAGUAUGAUGCCUCUGGCUUCCCUCUAUCACACGUCUUCUUGUUGAGUAAAGGUUUUUCAUAAAUGUGAGCGUGGAAAAAGAAACCAGGUUAAAUAUGGAACUUCACACCAGGACACAAAAGGGUUGAAUUUUACAUAUCUACUUUAGAUUUUAAUUUCUUCUAUAAAUUAAAAUCUAAUCUUCUAUAAUUUCUGAUAAAAUGUUUGUUAAAUGAACUCAAUGCAUUGGACAAAAAUUUCCUCUUGCUUUUUUUUCAAAGUACAUAAACUGAUGCUACUUUAUCCACCUUUCUCACAUUUUCUCUGUCCCAAUCUCACACUGGAGGUUCAAUAGUCUUCUUCAUACCUCAAGUUCUUUCUCUUGUAAUAUGAAAGGCAUGUGGCCACUUUCCUUUUCUAAUUCUUUCAUAAAUCUAAACAUUUUCCUUCCCAGAAUAUUGCCUAUAGGAACAAAUCUAAAUUCCUUAAUACAGAGUAAAAUGGUAAUAAAAUUCUUGCCCUGAUUUUCUUUCUUAGGCCUAUGUCAUUUCAACACUCCCCAUCACCAUUCUUCCCCAAUCUCUUCCAUUUUUUUGAGUCUAAAAUCCUUAAUACAUUGAAUUUUUGUUCAAUAUUUGUUAUAUGCCCAAAACUAUGCUAAGCUGCUGGACCCGUGCUCUUUCACAAUUCCUUUUCUGUUCCUUUCAGACUAGUGAAAUGAUACUGAUUUUUAAUGAUCUGUCUUUUCUUGGAAAUUUCCUAUUUCCAAAUGUCAAAAAAAGAACUUAUAAUUUUUGUUGUGGCUUACAUGUAAUAUACAUUCAGUAAUUGUUUGAAUGAAAAAUGUAUUAAAAUAGUAUAAGUAUCCAAGUUGCUGAUUCAAUUUAGUUAAUCUCUUCUGAUACCCCUACCCCAAAAAGACAUAUGUAAAAGUGCAUAAAAUCGUGUGUAUGAAUAUGUAGAUCAAUAGAUAGAAGCAUCUGUGAACACAAAUAAGAAAUUUAGGAAAUGAUUAUCUUAGAAACCCUUUACCAUCAAAUCUAUAAAAAUAUGAUAAUAUCAAAUGUAUAGAAGAGAUACCCACAGUUUGUAGUAAAUUAUUAUGUAAUCCAUAUUUUCUCUGGAGCAAGAUACAAACUGCUAAAAAGAAACAAUCG